UGCGUAGGCGGCGCUGAAAGUUGGGUGUGAAAUCCCUCGGCUCAACCGAGGAACUGCGCCCAAAACUACAGUGCUCGAGUGAGACAGAGGUGAGCGGAACUUAGGGUGGAGCGGUGAAAUGCGUUGAUAUCCUAAGGAACGCCAGUGGCGAAAGCGGCUCACUGGGUCUCUUCUGACGCUGAGGCACGAAAGGCUGGGGAGGCAACG
rnacentral:rRNA from 1 species